rnacentral:rRNA from 1 species
UACGUAGGGUGCAAGCGUUGUCCGGAUUUAUUGGGCGUAAAGAGCUCGUAGGCGGUUUGUCGCGUCGGCUGUGAAAACUCGGGACUCAACCCCGAGCCUGCAGUCGAUACGGGCAGACUAGAGUUCGGCAGGGGAGACUGGAAUUCCUGGUGUAGCGGUGAAAUGCGCAGAUAUCAGGAGGAACACCGGUGGCGAAGGCGGGUCUCUGGGCCGCUACUGACGCUGAGGAGCGAAAGCGUGGGGAGCGAACAGG